rnacentral:rRNA from 1 species
GAUGAACGCUGGCGGCGUGCCUAAUACAUGCAAGUCGAGCGAACGGACGAGAAGCUUGCUUCUCUGAUGUUAGCGGCGGACGGGUGAGUAACACGUGGAUAACCUACCUAUAAGACUGGGAUAACUUCGGGAAACCGGAGCUAAUACCGGAUAAUAUUUUGAACCGCAUGGUUCAAAAGUGAAAGACGGUCUUGCUGUCACUUAUAGGUGGAUCCGCGCUGCAUUAGCUAGUUGGUAAGGUAACGGCUUACCAAGGCAACGAUGCAUAGCCGACCUGAGAGGGUGAUCGGCCACACUGGAACUGAGACACGGUCCAGACUCCUACGGGAGGCAGCAGUAGGGAAUCUUCCGCAAUGGGCGAAAGCCUGACGGAGCAACGCCGAGUGAGUGAUGAAGGUCUUCGGAUCGUAAAACUCUGUUAUUAGGGAAGAACAUAUGUGUAAGUAACUGUGCACAUCUUGACGGUACCGAAUCAGAAAGCCACGGCUAACUACGU